UACGUAGGGACCGAGCGUUGUCCGGAAUCAUUGGGCGUAAAGAGCGUGUAGGCGGCCUAUUAAGUCUUGCGUGAAAUCUCGGGGCUCAACCCCGAGCGGUCGUGAGAAACUGGCAGGCUAGAGUGCGGGAGAGGAGAGUGGAAUUCCUGGUGUAGCGGUGAAAUGCGCAGAUAUCAGGAAGAACACCCGUGGCGAAGGCGGCUCUCUGGAACGCAACUGACGUUGAGACGCGAAAGCGUGGGGAGCAAACAGG
rnacentral:rRNA from 1 species